AGAGGGCCAAGAUAAAGGAGAAGAUUGACAAAUUUGUCAAAGAAAAGUUAUUGGACUUCUGUGAUGUUCUUAAUAUUCAAAUAAACAAGACCAAUGUGAAGAAGGAGGAGGGGUCUACAAAGUUGUUGGAAUAUUUGGAGUCCCCACAUGCUACAACUAAGAUUCUACUUGCUGAUAAAGAGCAGAAAGGUAAAAAGAGAACCAGAAAGUCAUUCCCUGGCAAAUCUCCUGGGAAAGCAUCUACAGAGACACCUGCCAAGGUAUCUUGUCCAGAAAGUCAUUUUAAUGUGGCUAGUUUUUUGAAGUUUGCUUCUACAUACUCUCCUCACAUAUGCUUUUGUCCUGUCUUUAGUGCCAUAUGUUGUAGUCUGCUGGUUGCUCAAAAGUUA